GACGACGCUGGCGGCGUGCCUAAUACAUGCAAGUAGAACGAGUUGCGAACGGGUGAGUAACGCGUGGUAACCUGCCUCAUAGCGGGGGAUAACUACUGGAAACGGUAGCUAAUACCGCAUACCAUCAGAUGUGCCCAGAUGGUCUUAGCUAGUAGUUUGGGUAACGGCUCACCUAGGCGACGAACCCUAGCUGGGCUGAGAGGAUGACCAGCCACACUGGAACUGAGACACGGUCCAGACUCCUACGGGAGGCAGCAGUGGGGAAUAUUGCACAAGGGGCGCAAGCCGGAUGCAGCCAUGCCGCGUGUAUGAAGAAGGCCUUCGGGUGGUAAAGUACUUUCAGCGGGGAGGCGGUACACGCAGAAGAAGCACCGGCUAACUCCGUGCCAGCAGCCGCGGUAAUUC
rnacentral:rRNA from 1 species